CACGUCACAGCAAACGUUAAGGCGCACGUGACCUUAAAGAUGGCGGUGCCCGUGAUCGGCGGCCAAACCGUUUGUAAACAAUGCGGUUGUUGUUUCUGGACGACGUUUUGGAUGUUUUUCGAUCACGCAAAAAAGUCACCGGCAAGUAGUGACUCUGCUUGCAGCCGAACCGUUGCCACUUUAGCGGGUUCUAAUGGCACUUGUCCCAAGCAGCCACCUCCAAGAUCAAAUCCGGAAUUGCGAGGGAAAGUUCUUCCACAACAGCGGGCAUGUCCAUGAGAGAUGUCGUAGGUAGACAUCCACCUUGUAGGGACAUCUAAGACUGGUCUCUUCCCGCAGCGUUUUCGGACCAACUCUCGCAGUGAAGGACAUCGCGUACACUUAACUGAAGGGUAUGGGCGCUGCACCUCGUGCUUGAGACAGGUACAUUGCCUUGUCUUCAGAAUCAACGUCCUCAUCUUCACCGCUGGGCCCAUCGUCGUCAUCAGUGUGACCCUCUGACUCAUUCGUUUGACGCGAGUUCCUAUUGCUGUUCAUCAGUUUGACGCAGCGAACCAUGUUGGCGCCAUUGUCUGUGCUGUGUGUGGUUCACUAAGUUCCAACAGCGCAAGCGUCUUCAACUGAAGCCUUCCGUCGGCAACGAACUGCACAUUUAUCCCCAAGAAGGACCUAUACAGCCUGGUUGCGGCAUCUGCCUUUAAACACAGUAGUUUGUUUUGAAGAGGCUUUCUUGUAGCGUCUCUGCACUUUUCUUCAGCAGCCGAUAUAUUUCUUCCUUUACGUUUUUUCGAUCGAAGAGGAGCCCAAGAGCCUCCAUUAAUGGUGACACAAGACGCUUAAACCCAGAGUCGCCAAGUACUGAGAAAGGCCGUCCGUUCCUCGUGACUAACUCUAGGCAUCCACGUUUAGCGUCUAGGCUCAGCGUUUAUUUUCACUUCAACACUGUCUGACACCGCCAUCUUUGUUUAUUUCAUGCUUUGGGAACCUUCACUCGUAGAGACGUCGCUGGCAGAACGCUUGAUGCCCUUAUGGCCCAUUGCCUGCUCCUUACUUGCAAGCUCAUUGUAGGCUGCACCGCCCUGCUGGAAAUAGUCCAGUUCAAAAUAGCCCAGAAAUCUCAUUCGGUUUAAGUGGAUAUCACAUUCACAAUUCUCAUUGAAAGGAGCCAAAAUUUCCCAUUCCGAAUCGACAAUUUUAGACAAAUACCAUAUUGAAAACUACUGGAAUUUAGUGGGUUUUAAAGAGAAAUCACUGUAAAUGUCAAUGGGGACGAAGCGGAAGCACGCUUAAUCACACCCACUGGAGGCCAGUCUAGUUUACCAUUGGCUCGAUGUGCUGUAGCUCUGAUUUUCCCAGUAAACUCACAUAGAAAUUCUCAUUGUCGAUGCACCUUUUGAAUGUGCAAUGACAUUCGAUUCUGCUGCAUCGAAUGAGCAGAACGCAUGUUUUUGCUGUAGAAAGGAGUUACACUAAAUGCCGUUUCUGCGUGCACAUUUAUGUUUUCAUACAUCACAAUACAGUAGAUGUUAAAAUAUUACAAGUGGGACAUAUAAAGGUGGAAGUUAUUUCAAAUGUUUUGUAAGUGUGAAUAUUCACCAAUCAGUUGAAAAUCGCUAGCAAGACAUAGUGAACAACAAGAGUAAAAACUUGAUUCAGCACUUACAUAUGUUUUGAAAGAUACUGUCCAUCAUCAACAUACACAAAAUAAAUUUCCAAUCAGUAGCUUCAUAGUGAUGUGCCUCCAACGUCCGCACAGCGUCGACGAACAAAACAGAAGGUCUUGAAGCACUCAACCAUCAUGGUCUUCUGUGCUUCGUAGAUGUUUCACGAUACCCCGUCCAGCCUGCCUUUCAUGCGUGAAAAGUAACCCCAUCCACCUUCGGUAAGAUUCCGUUCUGGCCACCUGCUGACAAAUGCCUGCGCACCUAUGCCAGCUGCGUCGCACCAGCCUAACCUUCAAGAAACAGAAUUUUUAAAAGAUACAGGAACAGCAGCCUGUCAGUGUGAGUGGGUGUCAAAUAUAUUACAUACCGUUGUUCACAGCGCGGGAGGUAACACUGACUGCACAUUUCGCUCUCCUCCCAUCACCGGUUGUAAUGCCUACGAACAGGGAUAAAAACAUGUGAGACUCUGUAGAAAGAACGGGUAUGUUUCUAACAUCGACUACAUACAAUACAAAGUAAAAAGCAACGCCAAAGUCCAGUUGACUGUGAUUACACUGAGGGAAGGUAAAACGGGUAGGAACACUUUAUUACAAUUAAGAUGAACAAGGCUUUCGUGCAGAGCCUGCACUUCAUCAGGUUAAAGAGUAGCCGUACAACAGGACGUAUAUAUACCAGUAGAAAGGGAGGGAGAAAGGGGAAUAGAAAAGCAAAAACACAAUCGAAUACACUUAUCUGGCUGAGGGAGUUGAAAAAACAAUAAGUAAAAUAAGUAAAAAGCGAAGCAGACCGGACAAGACCAAAACUACAGCCCAGGGUCAUGUGUCACAGACACACAACAGGGGGAAGUUCACAGCGCUGACAACCGAAAUAUGCAAGGCGACCCUUCCGAUGCUCCCUGUAACCGGGAGUGUCGGGGAAGGCUCAAGGUCGCUCCGUGGUCCCGCUGCCACCCCCC